rnacentral:rRNA from 1 species
AUGGAUCAUCUCAGUCUUAGAAGCCUUGUCCGCCUUCUGCUCUCACUGCAUCUGUCAUUAUCGUUAUUCAACCCUCUGGCAGUAGCAGAUUUGGCCUCUGAGAGCCAAGCCCUUCUUGACUUUGCCUCUGCAGUCUAUCGCGGCAACAAGCUUAACUGGGGUCAAGGUACACCACCGUGUUCAUGGCAUGGUGUCAAAUGCUCAGCAGACCAGUCACACAUAUCUGAGUUGAGGGUACCAGGUGCUGGCCUCAUCGGAGCAAUCCCUCCAAAGACUCUUGGCAAGCUCGAUUCGCUCCAAGUUCUGAGCCUGCGGUCUAAUCUUCUAUCCGGAAGCCUUCCAUCUGAUGUGGCCUCACUUCCUUCUUUACGUUCCAUAUACCUUCAGCACAAUAAACUUUCAGGAGGUUUGCCUUCCUUUUUCAGUCCUAACCUUAGUGUAGUGGAGCUCUCCUAUAAUUCCUUCACUGGAGUGAUUCCUACAAGCUUAGAAAACCUUACUCAGUUAUAUCUCCUGAAUUUACAAGAAAAUUCUCUCUCCGGACCCAUUCCUGACCUGAAGCUUCCAAGCCUGAGACUGUUAAACCUGAGCAACAACGAGUUGAAGGGCUCAAUUCCUCGCUCGCUCCAAACAUUCCCAGAUAGUUCAUUCUUGGGGAACCCUGAACUAUGCGGGCCACCACUAGAUAAUUGCUCAUUUCCAACACCAACACCCUCCCCAGAAUUGCCUUCAACACCAUCAUCUCCAUCGCCUGCGCAUCACGACAGGAAACUGAGCAUAGGGUUCAUAAUCGCGGUUGCUGUCGGGGGAUUUGCAGUACUGAUGCUAAUUGUGGUUGUGUUGUGUGUGUGCCUUUCAAAGAGGAAGGGGAAGAAAGAGGCCGGUGUCGACUACAAGGGAACUGGUGUCAGGAGUGAUAAGCCGAAGCAGGAAUUCAGUAGCGGUGUCCAGACUGCUGAGAAGAACAAGUUGGUUUUCUUGGACGGUUGCACCUACAACUUUGACUUGGAGGAUCUACUGAGGGCUUCUGCAGAAGUCCUUGGCAAGGGGAGUUAUGGGACUGCCUACAAGGCUAUACUCGAGGACGGCACUGUUGUCGUUGUCAAGAGGCUAAAAGAUGUCGUGGCAGGGAAGAGGGAGUUUGAGCAGCAGAUGGAGCUCGUUGGGAGGUUGGGUAAACAUUCAAACCUAGUCCCGCUUCGUGCUUACUACUAUUCCAAGGAUGAGAAGCUUGUCGUCUACGAUUACAUUGCCACCGGCAGCUUUUCUGGCAUGUUGCACGGUAUCAGAGGUGUUGCUGAGAAGACGCCAUUAGACUGGAAUACCAGGGUGAAGAUCAUACUAGGAACAGCAUAUGGCAUCGCGCACAUCCAUUCAGAAGGCGGCGCAAAGCUCACCCACGGCAACAUCAAGUCGACCAACGUCCUCGUCGGUCAGGAUCAAAACGCGUACGUCUCAGACUACGGCCUCAGCUCUCUGAUGAACGCGCCCGUCAGCGCGUCCCGCGUCGUGGUCGGCUACCGCGCCCCGGAGACCAUCGAGAACCGGAAGAGCACGCAGAAGUCGGACGUGUACUGCUUCGGCGUCCUCCUCAUGGAGAUGCUGACGGGGAAGGCGCCGCUCCAGUCGCAGGGGAACGACGACGUGGUGGACCUCCCGAGGUGGGUGCACUCGGUGGUCCGGGAGGAGUGGACGGCGGAGGUGUUCGACAUCGAGCUGAUGAAGCACCAGAACAUCGAGGAGGAGCUGGUCCAGAUGCUCCAGGUGGCGAUGGCGUGCACGUCGGGCCCGCCGGAGCGGCGCCCGGCGAUGGAGGAGGUGAUCAGGAUGAUCGAGGGGCUCCGGCACUCCGCCUCGGAGAGCCGCGCCUCCUCCGACGAGAGGUUCAGGGAGCCCAACCCGCCGUCGGUCUAG